UACGUAGGGUGCAAGCGUUAAUCGGAAUUACUGGGCGUAAAGCGCACGUAGGCGGGUUGUUAAGUCAGGGGUGAAAUCCUGGAGCUCAACUCCAGAACUGCCUUUGAUACUGGCAACCUAGAGGCUGGAAGAGGUUAGUGGAAUUCCCAGUGUAGAGGUGAAAUUCGUAGAUAUUGGGAAGAACACCAGUGGCGAAGGCGGCUAACUGGUCCAGAUCUGACGCUGAGGUGCGAAAGCGUGGGGAGCAAACAGGG
rnacentral:rRNA from 1 species